rfam:Homo sapiens chromosome 12, GRCh38 reference primary assembly.
GCCAGGUGUGGUGGUGCAUGCCUGUAGUCCCAGCUACUUGGGAGGCUGAGGCAGGAGAAUCGCUUGAACCCAGGAGGCGGAGGUUGCAGUGAGCCAAGAUCGCACCAUUGCACUCCAGCCUGGGUGACAGAGCGAGACUCUGUCUCAA